AGUUCUGUAGUUAAAAAAAAAUAACUUCUGUUUUGUUCAUAANCUUCUCAGACAGAAGGUUGCAGGUUCGAUUCCUGGCGGUGCUG
rnacentral:tRNA from 1 species